GACGAACGCUGGCGGCGUGCCUAAUACAUGCAAGUUGAGCGCUGAAGGUUGGUACUUGUACCAACUGGAUGAGCAGCGAACGGGUGAGUAACGCGUGGGGAAUCUGCCUUUGAGCGGGGGACAACAUUUGGAAACGAAUGCUAAUACCGCAUAAAAACUUUAAACACAAGUUUUAAGUUUGAAAGAUGCAAUUGCAUCACUCAAAGAUGAUCCCGCGUUGUAUUAGCUAGUUGGUGAGGUAAAAGCUCACCAAGGCGAUGAUACAUAGCCGACCUGAGAGGGUGAGCGGCCACAUUGGGACUGAGACACGGCACAAACUCCUACGGGAGGCAGCAGUAGGGAAUCUUCGGCAAUGGACGAAAGUCUGACCGAGCAACGCCGCGUGAGUGAAGAAGGUGUUCGGAUCGUAAAACUCUGUUGGUAGAGAAGAACGUUGGUGAGAGUGGAAAGCUCAUCAAGUGACGGUAACUACCCAGAAAGGGACGGCUAACUACGUG
rnacentral:rRNA from 1 species